GAAUUUUGGCUACUUGUCCAAGGCUUUAUAGAUUCCCUCUAGACGAACAGAUUCUAUUGUCCGAAAAUGCCAGUUAGGGGUCCGUUUGGGCAUCGACGCAAACCCUACCAAUCCAAAGCAUCUACUUCGAUGCACCGCUUUUAUUUUAUCUGUAUCCAAACGGGGACUUAGGACCUGCAUUUGGGAUGCAUUUCAUUUGCAUUUGCCCUCGAUUUAGCUUUCCUCCACCUUAUAUAAAUGUAUAAAAACCUUUUUUCCACCCAUUGGACUCCAUUCCCUGCUUCUACCCAACUCUAGGAAAAGCAGGCGCUUUGAGUUGAUCACUAUAGGUAAUCGUUUUCUUAUUUGUGUUUCUCUUUUCUUUGAUUUUGAUCGUUGAACAGGUUUGAUUCUCGGGACUUUGUUUUGAUCAUUUUUGGAUCUGCAAAAACAUCGACCUAUGCUUUUGUCUAAUACUGUUUGAUUUUAUUUUUUUCAUCUAUUGGGUGGAACAGGUUUAUUCGGUGGAUAUUUGCCUUUUCUGUUUGGUGUUUGUUUUCAAUCUGUGUUUUUUUCUGUUUGAUUGCCGAGAAAUGGUGAACAAUAAAUGGAAGUUUGAAUCCUAUCAGUUUUGAACUGGUUAUUGUGAGAUUCCAACUUUUUCUUUUGUUUUCCAACGAUUUCUCAGCAACCAAACGGGCAUGAAGUAUAGAGUUCAUCUUUGAUAUUUAUCUGGUUGUAGAUGUAGAUGAUCCAUAGGCUACUGGAUCAAGAUCUAGGGCUUUAUUGUGGAUAUUUGCUCAUUUUGCUUCAUUCAAUUUUUUAUUUUACCAUGUUUGGAUAGAGAAGAGGUUGAUAUGCAAAUCUGAAAAAAAAAAAAAGAAAAGAAAAGAAAAAAGAGCUGAAAGAAAAGCUGUUAGGAACCAAUAUUAAUUAUAAUUCUCUUUUGCUCAGUGCUUUGGUCCCUGCUUAGCACAGCCUUUCGGGUGCUGGAAAUCACUUCCACUUCCACUUCCACUUCCUUUGACUAUUCAAACUUGCUAUCAAGUCUCUAUUAAUGACUACAUUAAUUAUGUUGUGGCAAGUUUAGCAUUUGUGGGAUGCAUGUUUUAACUUUAGGGCAAGCUUUUUAAGGUUUUUUUAAUUGUAGGUACUAAAUGAAUAUUAGGACAUUUUGUUGUCAUAUUAUAACUUUCCCAAAAUAAUAUUAGGAUUAAGAGAUAUGUGAUAUUUUCUCCUCUCAAUAAUUGUUCACACACUAUAAAUCUUUGAAAGUUGCUUCAUGAUUUGCACUAAUUGUAGAGUGUUACCCUCAUUUUACUAAGAGUUAAAAGGUUUUAAUUGUAGAAACCACUAAUCUUGCAUUUUAUUAAUUAUCAUAUGUGGAAUUCCAAAAUUGGCAAUUAAUUAUUUUUAGAGUUUAUAUAAAUUUUUAGUAGUUUUGACUUUCAAACAGAUAAUAAAAUAUUGCAUUUGUCCCCCUUUUUUACUAUAGUAAUUCAAACUUCGAAAAAAAUUUAAAGAUGUAGCAGGUGGAAUAUGUGUCAAUAUGAACUCCAUUCUUCUUGCUAGCCCUUGAGAACCAGUUCAAUCUGCAUUAGAGACUAAUAGCUUUCAUUUUAUUAAAUUAGAAACACUAGUUUAUGGGUAGACUAUAUACAAUGGAAAGUAGGUCAUAGACCCAAGCACUUAGUGUCUCAUUGUAAUAUACACAAGUUAAUAGAGUGCAAUUAACUUUCUAUAGUGGAAUGUUGAGUCAAUUUCAAAAUUGAAUUAUAAGGGAAUCGAUACUAUCCUUGUGGGUCUUAAUGGUCCUUGCUCGAACUCAUAUAUCUUGAUGAUAUGGUUUAAGAGGGUUGAAUCGGUUUUUAGUUCACUUAUGUACAUAAAGGUGUUUUGAUGAUUGCGAAAGGUUGCACAAAAACUAAUGAACAAUAUCUCUUAACUAUGCUAAUUGAUUAAUUAGUCUCCUAUUGGAUUGUUAAUUAAUUAGGAUUCUUUUAGACUUGAUUAAAUAACUCAAGCCCAAGGUAGGCUCAAGUCUCUUAAGUGUAGAGGGAAGUCUAUAAAUUCCCCCAUAGGGAUUAGGGCUUUAGACUAAUGCCUCUUCCAUUUUUUCCUAUAUGUUUAUAUAGAGAAUCCUAGCCUCCAACCUUUAAAGAUCUCCACCAUCCAAUGCUAAGGCUCAAGGACAAAUGAUUGGGUGGAAAAUUAGUGGGUUUAGAAGACUUUCAACUACUACCGUGCACUCGACAAUGUUCUUGAUUGCAAAGAUCAAUUCUAGGAACAUUCGAAUUUUCGAUAAGCACUUCUAACCCGUAAUACUAGUUCCUAUUAAGUUUUGAAUGUUAUUGUUUCCAUUGUGCAUAAGGAUCUAGUGGCCCUAGGAAUAGUUGCAUACACCAAAUGAGAUUCAAGGCUUGAGAACAAAGUAAUUUGGGAUUCAUAAAAACUAGUUCAUAAAAGUUGUGUCUUUAAUGUUUCUCUUCUACACACAACUAUAUUUUUUCAAAUUUUCUUACUAAGCAAAUAGAUUCUAAAUCAUAUGAGACCAAAUCAAGUAAGACUUAAUGCUUUGAAUUCUUUAAUGGAUCUACUAAUUUUUAGAGUUUGCAAAGUAUAUAUAAACUUGGUUUAUUUAGGUAUUAAAAAAAUUGAAAAUUUUCUUGUUUUUAAAUAAAACUUGGCUUAUAUGAUAUUAAGAAAUUAUGAUUUUUUUUUUCAAUACAUUUCAAAUAAAAAAUUAUUAACCAAAAAAAAAAAAAAUCAAUUAUACCUUUAUGAAAAUGUUAAUAUUCAUAUUUCAUAAUAUAUACUACAAUAAUAUAUUUUUAAAAUAUAUAUAAAUUUUUUAUUUUAUUGUAAUAUUAAUAUUCACAUUUUAAUAAAAACUAUUUAUUUGUUUAUCGAUUUGAAAUUACAAUUUUUUUUAAUAAGACUUGAAUUAAAUUUAAUUAAUCUUAUAAAAAUUGAAUUAAUAUCUUAUAAAAUCAAAAUAGAAAAUAUUAUUUUUAAAAAAACUCAAAAAAUUAUCCAAACAAUUUUUUAUUUUAUUUUUUUCUCUUUAAAAAUGUUUUUAAAAAACACCUUUAUUUUUAGAAAAUACCAAAAGACUAUUUUUUGUUCUUUAACUUAAUAUAUAUAUAUAUAUAUAUAUAUAUAUAUAUAUAUAUAUAUAUAUAUAUAUAUAUAAUAAGUUCUUAAAAAAAUGCCAAAUAGACCCUUAGAUAUUUUUUAUAUAUACAAUAUUUAUGUUGGAAUUAAGCCCUAGAAAGGAUAACAUGAUGUAAUAGAUAUAGAUGCAUUUAUAAACUUAUUUAUUUUUGUUUCUUGGUUUCCUUUUAUUAACCCAUUUGCAUUAAUUGGUUAUUUGAGCAUUCAUGCCCCACAUCACUCAUAUUGUACAUAGUUUGGGUGUAUUAGGAGUUGCACAGAAGAUUCAAAUCAUAGGUUUCUUGUAGAGUGAUGAGUUGUUCAUUGUCAGUUUAUGGAUUUGGGUAAUCCAUCUGAAACUGUAAUAUACUACCUCCUAAUUAGAGGGAUGAUUUGUCUUGACCGUUAGGAUGGUUUUUACAUGGUGAGUGCACUAGUGUAUGUAAUGCGCAUUGGAUAGGACCUAUGGUGAAUCAUGACGUAAGGUUAUUAAUUAUCAUGAUUCACCAAGCUACUAUAUUGUAUGGACCCUUAACUUUGAGAGGAUAUUGAGUUUGUACCAAAGUCAACAUAAGACUUUGACCUAUGAGUGAGAUCCUGAGGGAGUCUUAUAUCCCUAUGUAUUGGGUCACAAUCGAUGGAAAAGUUUUCUAAAAAAAGGCAUCAUGAUAUCUCAUGGAUUGAGAUAGUGUGUUCCCUUGGGUGACAUAUUCCCUAAAAUACUAUAGUCAUAGCAUUUUUUUUAAUAGAAAUUUGACAUAUCUUCCUUGGAGUUAGAGUAUGUCAAUUGAUCAUAUAAUAAAUGAAAUCUAUAACUCAACUAUUAGAGAGGUAAUCUUGAUAGGUGAUAGCACUAUCUUAUUAAAUUAUGGACACCAAUUCAUGGGGAGUCUGCAUGUAGUGGAUAGUAGGUCACAAACUCAAGGUACGUCUCAUUGUUAUUUAUAUAAGGUAUUGAAGUAUAAUUGAUUCUCUUUAGUGGAAUGUUGAAUCAACUUCAAAAUUGGAUUUUGAGGGAGCCAAUACUCCUAUGGACGACCCCCCCCUAGUUCCUAUUCUAAGCUCAUAUACCAUGGUGACAUAGUUUAUGAGGGUUAAAUUGACUUUUGGUUUACUCUUGUGCAUAAGGGAAUUUUGGUAAUUGUGUAAGGCUACACAAGGGAUGGUAAACAAGUUAUUUGAAUUAAGCUAAUUGAUUAAUUAGAUGACUUUAUAUGGUUAAUUAAUCAAUUAAAACCCAUUUUAGAUUAAAUUAAGUGACCAAUCUUUGGUAGGCUCAAGUCACUUAAGCUUAGUAGGGGAACCCUAUAAACACCCCUUUAGAGGUUAGGGUUUCCUUCACUUUUGGAGAGAGAAUCGUCUUCCACCUCUAAAAAGAGAAAGCUUAGGAUUCCUCUAUCCAAAGCCCACACUUUAGAGUGUCAAGAUCGUGGUUCGAGUCAUCGAGCAAAAGAUCUUAGGUGUGCGAGACUUUCAAAUUCUUUGUUCUUCAUUUUCAUCGAGCAAAAUUGAUUUAGGAAUAUCUAAAUCAAAGGUAAGGUUUUUUAAUACUUUUCCUUUUGAUCCUAGAUUCAUAAAAAUAUGUUUUUUUUUUUUUUUUUUUUUUGCUUCCAUUGCAUAGGAUCUAGAGGCCUAAGGUAGUUUGCAUACACCUAUAUGAUCAAGGUAUGGUAAUGGAGAGGUCUAAGGUUUCCAACAAUUUACUAACUAUUUCUUCAUGUUCUUGGUCAUAGAAGUCUUGUAUUUCUACAAGUUGGAGUUCACUCUACUAUGUUUAUGAGCUAGAUACGUGUGAUUUGCCUUGUUUUUUUGCAUUGGACUAAGGUUUGGUUAAUAUCAUAUUAUGAGGAUAACAAAACAAGGCUUGAUUCUAAAGUUCUUCUUUAAUUGUAAUUGACAAGAAGAUUCCCUUGGAGUAAUCAAGAAAAAAACUAUAUGAAGUUGAAGAGGAAAUAAAAAACAAGAUUUAUCAUGAUUAUUUUUAGGUUCAUUUAUGCAAGAUUAUGGGUAUUCUAAGUUAGGAUUGCAUAUCAUUUAUUUAAACAUUCAAAACUCAUCUAAUUGAACUCAAACUUACCUUAAAUUUCAAAAUUGGAUAAAAACUUUUUUAAAUGAAAAUCACCUUUGUAAUUGAUGUAUAAAACGUUUUCAAAGUCAUAAGGAGUUUGUUUAGGCUUUCCCUAUUGUUUUUAAGCUAAAAAAAUUGAAGUUUUCAUAGAAUCUUGGAAAAUUAGAUCAAUAGGUGGAUCUAUAGAUGGUUGAGGAGCAUAUUGACCUAUGGUCAAUCUAUUGAGGGGAUUUGAUCUCCAAUCUUGGCGUUGGCUACCAUUUGAGGUUGAACUUCAACUAAACAAUCUUAACAAUGGUUCCCUUUGAUUUCAAUAGGUUAGUUUGGUUCUCAUAAAAUACUAAGAAAAGAAGAAAAAAAAAUGUUAAAGAAAAUUAUUUUCUCCUUUUUGGUUGUACCAUGUAAAAUAUGAAAAUAUGUAUAUAUCUAUAUAUAUAUAUAUAAUUAAAAUAAGUUAAAAAAUUAUGUAUUUUCAAAUUAUUUAAUUUUUAUAUGGAGGAGUUAAAAUAAGUGAAAUAAAUUUGAAAUAUCAUAUAAAAAUAAUUUAUUAACUUUAAUUUUUGUUUUUUUUUAAAAAAAAUUCUUUAUUGUUUCUUUCUUCUAUUUUUCCUCUCUAUUUUCUUUUCCUUCAAAAUUUUCAAGAAUCAAACAUAGCCUUAAGUUCAUUUAACUUUCUAAAUAAACAAUCUAGCUUUUCUAGGUAUUGAUCAAUCAUCUUCCUAUGACAAGUUUUGACAACGAGACAUACUUGAGACCAGUAAUAACAUUAGCCUUAGAUAGAGUGUUGUCUUAUACUUUUUAAGUUAUUUAAACAUGAGAAUGAAUGAGAAAAAUAAUAAGAUAUCCAUUACUAUUCCUUAUUUCCUUGUAUCAAACACGCCUUUAGGGUAAAACUCUCAUAAAAUAAUAUUCUUAGGGUUGAGAACCAAAAGAAAAUAGUCUCAUUAGUUUCUGAGUAUCAUUACCCAAUAAUAUGGCUAAUUAACAGUAAAAAAAAGGUCUUCAAUAAUCAACCCUAGAAGCUCAUUGAUUCCUAUUUUGAUAGACUAAUAUAUUUCGUAAGAGGAAACAGUUUAAACAGACAUGCCUAACUAACGAUGAUCGUACUCCUAGAAAAGGAGAAAAGGAGAACACAAAACAGAUUGAGAACCCAAACUUUUCUAGUUGACCAAGCACUGUUUCACCUCUAGGUGUUUAACCAAAUUUCAAAGCCUUCAAUCACCAAGCUAGGUAACUUCAACUCCAGCAAUGUCUAAAAUUUGAUUGUACAUCAUUGUUGAUCUAUGAUUAAAAAAAGAAACAAAAACAACAAAAAGCACCAGUUUAGAUUUUAGUAAAGUCCACACAAAGAAGGCAACAACGUUAAAAGACAUUACAUAUGUGCCUAGGGCACUUGGGUUCUGCUAAUUCAACUCAGCUACAUGGGUGAUUCUGCCAAUCCUAUUUCUAAAUUCCUAAAACAUGUUACAUGAUCCAACUUACUCUUUUAGGUUCUGCUACUAAUCAUAUUACUGCCGGAGCUGCAUCUCUGUCUCACUUUUCCAAGAAGCAUGAGAUGACUGCCCUUUCAUCCUCUUGUUCUUCUCCUUUUCUUUGAUGGUUGAUCCCUUCUUCUUGUCAGUCUCUUUAUUUGCAUCUGCAAGUGGGCGAUCCCCACAUUGUGGGCAGACCAUUCCUCGCUCACUGGAGUAUGUCUUGGGUAUUCCACAUCGCAUACACAUCCUACAACCAAAACCAGAAUUGAGAUUGAUAGGUUGAUAAAUAGCUAGAUAGAUGGGGUUGUGUUCAUUAACUUGGGCUACCCAUUGACAAAAAAGCAAUGAUGAUGCACCUCAGAAGUUCAGCAGCAUCUUCUGCAUUAGGAUUAGCAGCAGUUGCCACCCGCUUCCCUUCCCCUUGUGUUGUGCUCAAAGAACCCUUUGGAGGUUGAACUGAUGAUUUUGGAGCAAGGUUACCCUCAAUAUCACUUCUCACUCUCUCAUGAUCUAAGGGAUAACAUUAAAUCAAGACAAAAACCAUUUUCUUACAGAGGAACAAAACAAUAAAUUGAGACAGAAGCGCAUAAGAGCUGAAUCUAUCUCUCAACACCGAAAACAUAUGGUCAAUAGUUUGAAACACAUAAUUCUUAGGAAUUUAAAACCCAUAAUUAGUCUGGGCAAUGGAUUUUAUUUUUUCGCGUUUUUCUUUAUCAUUUUCCCCAGCCUGAAUGCCUUCAACAAAUUAGCAGGUGAAGCAACACUAUCAGAAAUAUGCACCACACUGAAGAAUCCCAUCAAUUCUGCCAUUGCAAAGGAAAUAUUUGGUGAGAGAAGAGCUAGAAGAUUGUGCAGCAACUGCAUCUCAUGUGGAAAUUUAUGACUUACAAGGAAAGUAAUGGGAAUGGUGCACUUUCUGAGAUUCAGAAUUCUAGAACAGAUGUGUAGACCCCCAUUUGGGGCUUCAUCUCUCAGGCAGCCUGUUUUGACAAGUGUCGCAUUCCCAUAGGGCCACGUGUCGCCUCGUGGUUGGUGGUCAUAGAAUCAGAUAGUGGAAUUGAGGAACGAGUGAGAGUUUGACACGUGGCAUGGAGAUAUUCUGGCCGUUAGUGUGGAGCGUAUAUUUUUCUGUUAGAGGAGAUUCGUUGACAGGAAGGAGGUGGCCUUUUGGGUGCAGAGAUUGGCUGGUUACUAAAGGGGAUUCUAAAGAGAGAGUGGAGGCGGCGUUUCUGUGACAGAGUGGGGUGCUUUUUGAGAGGCUGGCUGGAGAUAUUUUGCAGGGAUUCUGGCAGAGCUAGAGGAGAGGAGACUGAGUGGAGGCGGCGUUUCUGUGACAGAGGGGGGGGGUGCUUUUUGAGAGGCUGGCUGGAGAUAUUUUGCAGGGAUUCUGGCAGAGCUAGAGGAGAGGAGACUGAUUUUCUGAGGUUGCUGGAGAGAGGAGUACGUUUCUGUUGUGGAGGAGCGUAUGAGGGAGAGAACCAGAGAGGGAGAACAUAGAGGUUUGAGGCUGCACAGGAGGGAGUUUUUCAGGGCUGUUUGACAGAGAUUUUGGGCGUGUUUUUGGCUAGCUGGAGCUGGAGAAGGAAGACGGCAGAGCACAGAGGAAAACCAAAGAGAAAUUAAAAGAAAACAGAGGGAAGAAAACGAGCAUCCUCAGGUACGUUAGCUUAACCACAUUUUGCUUGCCAUUGAUAUCUUUUGGGGUUGCUGUGACUAUGUGAUAAUGUAUCCAUGCUUUGUUCUUCAUAGAAAAUUUGUUUUAGAAUAAUCUGAUUCCUUUAUAGCUCUCAUUUGAAUGUUUGAGUCACAUGUUUGAGAUCUUAGUUCCCCCUGUUUUUUUUCCCACCCAUGUAUAAGCCCAUUGACUCCAGCAUGAAAUGGAGGUCGGGUCAGUGUUUUCUUUGGUUCAGUUGAUACUCUAUUUUUGUGCUUGCUCCCUUGCUGUUCAUGCUCUGUUCUCGAUGGCCAUUCAUACCCCUCCAAGGAGAAGAGUUUUUGGCCAGCAUUGCCUUGAUUUCUUUAUGGGCACAGUUUCUGAGCUUGGGUAGCAGUUGUUUCAUUUGUUCGUGAGAUUGCUGGGUUAUUUUGCUCAAAAAGAUUGGUGACGGCCAAAAAUCAGGGCAUUAGUGUUAUCUUUUGACUGUUGGUGGUUCAGGGUACAUAUUUGGGUCUUAGCAAGGGGCAAUGUUAUCUGCUAGUCAUCAGAUAUGAGACGCUAGCACUUUGAGAGCAUGGGUUGGAUGUUUAGCCAAGAGUGUUAGCAGAGAAGACGGGUGUUGUAGAAAAAUUGAAUUCACCUGAGGAGAGAGGAAAGUAUCCAAAAGCAGAAUCAAUUUAUGUACAGAUGUUUAUGGGGAUGGGCAACAUGUCAGCAAAUCAAUGGAUUAAUAGACUACUAUAAUACAUCCACUUCAAGAGAUUGGACUGGACGAGUGAAGAGCUUUAAAGCUGCAGGUAGCACUGGGGAUGGAUUGAUGCCUAUACUCCACAAAUUAGCACCUCCGGUGGCAUUAUUUUCUGCUCGGGGACCCAAUAUAAGAGGUUUCAACUUCCAAGAUGCGGAUCUUCUCAAACCAGAUAUUCUAGCUCCAGGUCCUCUCAUUUGGGCUGCCUGGUCUCCAAAUAGAACGGAUGAGGCCAAUUAUGUUGGGGAAGGGUUUGCAAUGGUCUCUAGAACUAGCAUGGGCAGCCCACACCAAGCUCCAAUAACUGCUUAGCUUCUGGUCCUGGCUUCCUGUGCUUCUCUUGAAGGGUGAAAUGAUAGCUUUGCUCCAUAUUCCUUCAGAUCCAUUGAAGAACCUCCACAGGAUUAUGGGUAUUCUGGAGUAUCACGCUGACUACUACUGGAAGGUGGGUAUGCUGCCAAUAUUCCUCUAUCGAUUGAGGUUCAAUGCCACUCUCAAGGUUAUGGGAACUCACGUGGCUAUUACUGUAAAUGGAUCAAACUGCCACUUUGAACUGAAUGUAUUCAAGUCAGUGAUUGCUAGUGGUUUCCCAAUAUCGAUCAGGUUGCUAGGUGAUGUAUCCGCUUUUUAGGAAGAGAGUUGUUGAAAGAUGGGCAAUGAUGACAGGAGAAGAAGACGACUGUAGCAGCAGGUUUUUGAAGAAGCAUCUCUUUGAGAAUUUGUUAAAGCAUCCAGAGUUCAUGACAAAUACUAAAUUGGCUAUAAGUGAAACAUAUCAACAAGCUGACAUGAUUUUUGUCUGGAUACUGAAAGAGAUACUUACCGAGAUGAUGGUUCUACUGCUCCCACAGCAGUGCUUGUUGGUAACCAUCUCUAUGUUGCCAAUGUUGAAGAUUUGAGGGGAUCACCAGCGAAUAAAGUGCAACAUUUCCCUGUUGAGGAUGUUCCUCCAGUUCUUCUAUGUCAAGAUACCCAUCAGAUCUCCUGGACAGGAAUCAGUCAUCUCGUUUGUCAAACUUUGGUGGAUCACAAAUUUCAGCACACUAUAAUCCUUAUGCAUCUACUCUUGAACAGGCACUUAGCUCCAAAUUCAGUUCUAAUGUUUUCAGACAAGAGAGGACCUGCGAGCAGGAGAAACCAGCCUUGAAGAGGAAGAACCAGAGAGUGAAGGAAAUCCCACCUGGCUCGUAAAGCUGCAUGAGAUCCCAACCCAUUGACAAAGAACCAAGUCAUACUCGGACCAUAUGCCAAGGACCCUAGUUGGAUCGCUCAUAAUGGUUGCUUUCAAUGCGAGAAGGGAUAGGUCAUCAGAGUUGAAAGAAGAAGAAAGCAUCUUAGUGAGGGCAGCAGAAUAAUCCCUGCGCUGAUAGAUGGCAGCGCGCUACUGGUUUCCGAAAAGAAGAGACGACGUUGGAGUGCAUUCCUACAUGGGUGGUGGCGGCUAUCUGCACCGUCAUUGUCACCAUUCCUCCUACUGUCAAGCGCCUGCCGCACUUUCUUGACAAAUACUUGAAGAAGUCCAGAUGUGGAAGGGCGUGACACUUUUUGAGAGAGAAUUGGAGGAGCCAGAGCCAACUAUUGCGUGGAUACUAUCCAGCGACUUGAUUCCCCCCAGCUCUUCGAUUCCUGGCUUGACUGCAUCAAAGAGGGUCAAACGGAAGUGGAGUUUGAUUGAUGGCACCAGGGGUCAGCAAGUUGGUUCUUCACUGGCUCUUGGGCUAGGGCGUUCAUCAAGUCCCUCAGACAACAAAGGGAGUUCAGCCACUGCUUGCACUACAAUGCCCUCAGCCAAAGAAAAUGAAGAAGAGUCCUCUACAAACCCUGAAUUGGACUUCACUCUGCGGCUUGGCAACGAACAAACACCCAGCCCAAAGAAAUAUGCUGACUCAAGUCUGAAAGCACUGGAACUGCAGACAGGUAUUGACCUGGAGUUGAGUCUCUCUACUGGGCCUGCCGAAUCCGAUAUCACUAGUGUCCAUGCAAGCUCUACUCUACUCCGCAAUGCCAUAGAUAUGCCAUUGAGAGUUGCCAGAGUUGUGCAUCUAGAUGAAGGCUCAACAUCAUAUCCAUGGAAACCAGGGACUUCUUCGUCAUUUCCAUUGAUAAAACCAUGGACACUAGAUUACAUUCUUACUUGAUUUUCCUUCAUAACCUUUCCACUUGUGCGUCAAUGUAUGGCCACCUAUGCAUGGCCACCUUUGACCCGAGUGCUAUCUUCCUUUUUACCAUCUUUAACUUAUUAAAAUCACUUUCCAAAUCCUUUUUUUCUUCAAAUAAGUUCCCGGGUUUUAGUUUUUAAAUAAUCCCAACUUCAAAUUUUCCCAUCCUUAGCAUUUUUCUUAAGUUCCAAAAAUCCGCUUUUUAAUAAAAUAGAUUGCCAUUUUCUCUUCGGCAAGUCUUCUUCACAUUUUCUUCGUCUUUUUUUAUGUUUUGAAAUAAAAGUGAAUUUAAAUUCCGUAAUUCUAAAUAAUGGAAUUUAUGGAAUUAAUUCAUGCAAAAAUAAACGAGCUUUGGUGGGGGCCCGACAUAAGUGAUUCUAUAAUUGAUUGAUUAAUUGAUCGAUUUAAUUGCCAUGUAUGAUUGAUUUAUCCUAUUCUCUAACGUGCAUGCUAUUAUCCCUAAAUUGUGCACUAACUCUCUCUUUUGGUAGCACUUGGUGGCUCGUUGCCCAGGUACAUACCCACUUUCACUCUGGUCACCCUAUAUACAUGUAUUGAUUCUCACGCGUGCAUGAUUGAUUCGAGUUUUCAUUGAUUUCCUUAUUAGAUGUCAUAGUUGCUUCAUUUCAUUAGUAGAGACCCGACUUUAGGGACUUAAAGGGGUGUUACAGUCUUUAUCGUACCUUCCCAAUAAGUAACCUGACCCCCGAACUCGAUCUAGUUUUUCAUAGACCAUCUUUUCCAAAAUAAAGAGUCACACUUAGGGUUUUUCUUUUUUAUUUUGUUUACCCUUUAAAAAUAAAAUAAAAAUAAGUGGCGACUCCAAGUCAUUUUCUUAAUCAAUAAAAAUCAUUUUUUAAAUAAAAAUCGAGCUCGCCAUCGAAUGGGAAACGCAUGAGCUGAAAAUGCGGGGUCCACAAAAUGAUUUGAUUUAAGGCAUCUGAUGACAUUUUCCGAGAUUCAGAAUUCUAGAACAGAUAACUGAUUUAAGGCAUCUGAUGAUAAUUUGAAUUUCCAACACCCCAAAUCUCAAUCAGACAUAAAGCCCCAUAGUGUAUGAUUUAUUAUAUUAAAGGCUUUGAUGUAGCACAUCCCUCAACUGUUGAGCAAGGCUGCUUAUAAUCAAACAACAUUCUGGUUGAACUACAGUUGUACAUGUGAGAUGUAGAUGAAAACAAAGUGCACGAGUAGAUAACGAUAUGAGUGGUUAUGUCCUUUUAAGUGGUUUAAGGAUUGAAAAUAAAUGCACAAGCUUGUUGAAUUUCUGGACAAGCAAGGAAGAAGAUUAAAGAGUUUGGUAAUGGAGUAAAAAUAGGGAAAAGGUUUCUGAUUGAAGGUAGGGCUUCAGAAUAAAGUGCACCAAGUGGUGCUGGUUAUUUGUAGAGCAGGAUAUAUGGACAGCUUACCAUAAAAAUAAAUAAAUAAAUAAAUCAAGAAGAAAAGCAAAAGAAGAAGAUAGAAAACUUUCCAUAAGCCCAGUUAUCAAACCCAUCUCCUACUAAAAUUUAGAGACUUCCGAAAAAAAAGGAAUAAAUUAUCUAAUAACUACAUAAGAGCAUCGUAUCCACUAUGAAAGGUGGAUCCUUCAAUUUCACCAAAAAUAGCCGUAUUGACAUGAAAUGACAUGAGUGUGGGUGUAGUAUCCUUGUUGGAUACUCCUAUUUUACUUUAGAAGUGACUGAUUUUUUUUCAUUGAUAUCAUUUUAUUCUUUCAACUUUAUUGUUAAUAAUCAUAUUAGAGAAAAAGAAGAGUUAAUUGAAAAGUGAAUUAUUGAAAAAAAAAAUGAAGGAUAAGAGGAAAAAAAAGAAAUUAGAAGGAAAAUAUCACAGCUUUUAAAAAUAAUAUCUUCACUUCAUAUUUAUUCUUAAUUGAUUUUUCUUUUAUUAUGUCAUAUCCUAUAAUAGUGCCCCUUUCUGGAUCUUUUAGUCGAGUCCUCAUAUCCUAAAAUUGGUGAAGGAUCGGACACUUAGACACAUACCGGUAUCUGACAAUCAUACUUACAACCAUGCAACAUAGCUUAUCCAAAUAAAUAAACAGGGUGAACGAUGCAAAACAUUUUUAAUAUUGAAAGUGUAAAUUUUUCCAAAUCCGAGGAGCCAGGUAGGGUGAACGAUGCCCCAACUAGAGGUACUCUAUCUUGCGCUACCUAUUAUGGGAACCGUUGGUUUGACAGACCAACCCCCCCAGGAUUUCCUUUCCUUUUAGGCAAUUUUAUAGAUUUUUUAUUUUUGGUUCUUUUGAUAGGCAAACUAAGGCACAAGGAAAUUAAAAGGAUCAAUUUUUUACAUAUACCAAGUUCAGGUAACUAAAUCAGCCAAACAACAUUAUUUAAUACCAUAAUAUCUUUGGCUUGACAUUUCAAUGACUGUUACCACUUUUCAAAUCAAAUCCAAUUGCAAACAACAUAUUCAAUUCCCCGUCCAAAUGAAUAUCAAUGUAAAUUAGACAACUCAUCCAAGACCUUUACAGAACUGCCCCAGAAACCAGGUAACAUCAUCCAACAAUAUUGAAGAUGGUUCACUAAACCAUCAGUCAUCACUUCCUCUGAAUCAAAAGAACGAUUUAGAGAAGCAAGAUGCAGCUAAAUCUUAUAACAGCAAAGUUUGGGGCAUAGCUGGAGACAAUAAAUUGAGAGGUUAUGGUUGGUUCCCAAAAGAUUUAGGAGAAAAUGUGAGGGAAAAAAAAUAUAGAAGAAAAAUGAAAGAAAAAGUGAGAAAAUAAAAUUUAAAAUCAAUAAAUUAUUUUUUUCUAUUAUUCCAAACUCAUUUCACUUAUUUUAACUUUUUUAUAUAAAGAAAAAAGAAUUUACAUACGAGUUUUUAACUAUUUUAUAUUUUAUUUUCUUUCGCAUUUUCCAUUACAAUAAAACCAAAUACGAGAAAAUCAUUUUCUUUAAUGGUUUUUUCAUUCUUUAAUACUUCCCUAGAAUCAAACACAGUGGGGAUAUCCCGGGAAAGUGAGAAAAGUGACUUAAUCAGCUUAUUUUGGGCUCUCUGUGAAAGAUAAAGAACACUAAGAGAAAUUUAAAAGAAUCAUGUGUUAAUAAAAUAUUAAAUUUGUUGUACAUUGAGAUAGAUCAAGCAAGAAAUGCUCACACUACUAAUUUGGCAAACCAAAAAAGAUCAAGCAAUUAUAAAUUUAUCAAUAUUCUGCAAGAAAUUAAGGACCGUUUAGUGCUUGAAGUGACAAUAAUUUGUUUUCAGGAAUAGAGAAAAUGAAAAAUGACACAAAAACAUAAUUAGUACUUGUUUGUAUACACACCUUGUUUAUUUUUUUCAAAAAUAGAAAAUGGUAGUGUAGAUCCCCAAAUUGGGAUAUAUUUAAAGCAUUUUUUGCAAUUAGUUUUUGGCCAGGUGUCGCGCGCUUAGGCAGCCACGUGUCACUCCCGGAUUGGCUGUUGAAGAUUCAGAUGGACUUUUGAGGAACCAAUAGAAGCUUGACAAAGAGAAAAGAAAAAUGGAUGAAAAGACCGUGAGAAGAGAAACAGCUGGGGGCUCUGAAGCUGCAGGGGAGGCAGAGCUUUCUGGGCUGGCGGCUAGAGAGAGAUGAUUCAGGAAUAGCAGCGAGUGAGCUUUUUCUGCCAUCGGGAAGAGUGAGCAAAGGGGAGGUGAUUUGAGGUGGCUUCCUGGCCGUAAAGAAGGGAGACAUUUUUCAGCUGCAGAGGAGGUCUCUUUCCUAGGGGGUUGGAGGACUUUUUGGGGAAGCCAGAGGUUUGAACUUUCGGGAGAGGCCAGCUGUUGCAGGCAGGGAGAAAAAUUCAUUGAGAGAGUCGAAGCUCGGUUCUUGUGGUUUAAGGAGUCCAGGCCACUAGUAGCUUGCGGAGGAAAAGGAAAACAGAGGAAGAAAAGAAGAAGGAUCUUAGGCGAGAGGGUUGGCUGAGGAAGACACAAACUGAGAAAGAAGCGGGCUGGGAAGGUUUUUUUGAGAAGGGACUUUCCAGGUACGAACCCCAUAUUCACCAUUGUCCCUGUUUGUUAUUUUCUCUACUUUGUCUCCAGAUAUUAUUGUUUGUUUCAGGUAUGUAUAUCAGGCCAUAUUGUUAGCUUUCCUUGAUCUCUAGAAUAACCAUGGAUUUAUGAUCAUUAUUUUAUCAUCUUUCCCUCUUGGUUUUGUUGAAGAGUAAGCCGACUAUGUUUUUAGCUUCACUAUGAAAUAUCUCAGCAUUCAUUCCCAUAUAUUUGUAUGAACCUAUGGUCGUUCAAUCCGUUAGCAAGCUUGUUGAAUGAAGCAUGAAACGGGC
rnacentral:lncRNA from 1 species